UACGUAGGGUGCGAGCGUUGUCCGGAAUUAUUGGGCGUAAAGAGCUUGUAGGCGGUUUGUCGCGUCUGCCGUGAAAAUCCGGGGCUCAACCCCGGACUUGCGGUGGGUACGGGCAGACUAGAGUUCGGUAGGGGAGUCUGGAAUUCCUGGUGUAGCGGUGAAAUGCGCAGAUAUCAGGAGGAACACCGGUGGCGAAGGCGGGACUCUGGGCCGAUACUGACGCUGAGGAGCGAAAGCGUGGGGAGCAAACAGG
rnacentral:rRNA from 1 species